CAGCAGCCGCCGCGGUAAUACGUAGGUGGCAAGCGUUGUCCGGAAUUAUUGGGCGUAAAGGGCUCGCAGGCGGUUUCUUAAGUCUGAUGUGAAAGCCCCCGGCUCAACCGGGGAGGGUCAUUGGAAACUGGGAAACUUGAGUGCAGAAGAGGAGAGUGGAAUUCCACGUGUAGCGGUGAAAUGCGUAGAGAUGUGGAGGAACACCAGUGGCGAAGGCGACUCUCUGGUCUGUAACUGACGCUGAGGAGCGAAAGCGUGGGGAGCGUACAGGAUUAGAUACCCGCGUAGUCCCUGUCUCUUAUAC
rnacentral:rRNA from 1 species